rnacentral:rRNA from 1 species
UAGAUUUACAGGUCAGAUUGAACGCUGGCGGCAGGCCUAACACAUGCAAGUCGAGCGGAUGACGGGAGCUUGCUCCUUGAUUCAGCGGCGGACGGGUGAGUAAUGCCUAGGAAUCUGCCUGGUAGUGGGGGACAACGUUUCGAAAGGAACGCUAAUACCGCAUACGUCCUACGGGAGAAAGCAGGGGACCUUCGGGCCUUGCGCUAUCAGAUGAGCCUAGGUCGGAUUAGCUAGUUGGUGGGGUAAUGGCUCACCAAGGCGACGAUCCGUAACUGGUCUGAGAGGAUGAUCAGUCACACUGGAACUGAGACACGGUCCAGACUCCUACGGGAGGCAGCAGUGGGGAAUAUUGGACAAUGGGCGAAAGCCUGAUCCAGCCAUGCCGCGUGUGUGAAGAAGGUCUUCGGAUUGUAAAGCACUUUAAGUUGGGAGGAAGGGCAGUAAGUUAAUACCUUGCUGUUUUGACGUUACCGACAGAAUAAGCACCGGCUAACUCUGUGCCAGCAGCCGCGGUAAUACAGAGGGUGCAAGCGUUAAUCGGAAUUACUGGGCGUAAAGCGCGCGUAGGUGGUUCGUUAAGUUGGAUGUGAAAGCCCCGGGCUCAACCUGGGAACUGCAUCCAAAACUGGCGAGCUAGAGUACGGUAGAGGGUGGUGGAAUUUCCUGUGUAGCGG